rnacentral:rRNA from 1 species
AGUGAACGCUGGCGGUAGGCCUAACACAUGCAAGUCGAACGGCAGCACAGUAAGAGCUUGCUCUUACGGGUGGCGAGUGGCGGACGGGUGAGGAAUACAUCGGAAUCUACUUUUUCGUGGGGGAUAACGUAGGGAAACUUACGCUAAUACCGCAUACGACCUACGGGUGAAAGCAGGGGAUCUUCGGACCUUGCGCGAUUGAAUGAGCCGAUGUCGGAUUAGCUAGUUGGCGGGGUAAAGGCCCACCAAGGCGACGAUCCGUAGCUGGUCUGAGAGGAUGAUCAGCCAAACUGGAACUGAGACACGGUCCCGGCUCCUACGGGAGGCAGCAGUGGGGAAUAUUGGAACAUGGGCGCAAGCCUGAUCCAGCCAUACCGCGUGGGUGAAGAAGGCCUUCGGGUUGUAAAGCCCUUUUGUUGGGAAAGAAAAGCAGCAGGUUAAUACCCCGCUGUUCUGACGGUACCCAAAGAAUAAGCACCGGCUAACUUCGUGC